rnacentral:rRNA from 1 species
UUGAACGCUGGCGGCAGGCCUAACACAUGCAAGUCGAACGCGAAAGUCCUUCGGGAUGAGUAGAGUGGCGGACGGGUGAGUAACGCGUAGGAAUCUGUCCGGUAGUGGGGGAUAACGUUCCGAAAGGAACGCUAAUACCGCAUACGCCCUACGGGGGAAAGAGGGGGAUCUUCGGACCUCUCGCUAUCGGAGGAGCCUGCGUCGGAUUAGCUAGUUGGUAGGGUAAAGGCCUACCAAGGCGACGAUCCGUAGCUGGUCUGAGAGGAUGAUCAGCCACACCGGAACUGAGACACGGUCCGGACUCCUACGGGAGGCAGCAGUGGGGAAUAUUGCGCAAUGGGGGCAACCCUGACGCAGCCAUGCCGCGUGUGUGAAGAAGGCCUUCGGGUUGUAAAGCACUUUCAGAGGGGAGGAAAGGGCGCUGGCUAAUAUCCAGCGCAGUUGACGCUACCCUCAGAAGAAGCACCGGCUAAUUCCGU